UCUGGUAUGCUAGUAUGUUAGUUCAAAAGUAAUUAUGGUUUUUUUUCCAUAAAAAUAAUGGCAAAACCUGCAAUUACUUUUGCACCAACCUAAUAUA
rnacentral:miRNA from 10 species